CGGGGGGCAGCAGUGGGGAAUCUUGCACAAUGGGCGAAAGCCUGAUGCAGCAACGCCGCGUGAGGGACGAAGGCUUUCUGAGUUGUAAACCUCUUUCAGCAGGGACGAUUGUGACGGUACCUGCAGAAGAAGCCCCGGCCAACUACGUGCCAGCAGCCGCGGUAAUACGUAGGGGGCAAGCGUUGUCCGGAUUUAUUGGGCGUAAAGAGCUCGUAGGCGGCUUGGCAAGUCGGAUGUGAAACCUCCAGGCUCAACCUGGAGUCGCCAUUCGAUACUGCCAUGGCUAGAGUUUGGUAGGGGACCACGGAAUUCCUGGUGUAGCGGUGAAAUGCGCAGAUAUCAGGAGGAACACCAGCGGCGAAGGCGGUGGUCUGGGCCAAUACUGACGCUGAGGAGCGAAAGCGUGGGGAGCGAACAGGAUUAGAUACCCGAGU
rnacentral:rRNA from 1 species